rnacentral:rRNA from 1 species
CCUACGGGAGGCUGCAGUGGGGGAUAUUGCACAAUGGGGGGAACCCUGAUGCAGCGACGCCGCGUGGGUGAAGAAGCGCCUCGGCGCGUAAAGCCCUGUCAGCAGGGGAGAAAAUGACGGUACCUGAAGCAGAAGCCCCGGCUAACUACGUGCCAGCAGCCGCGGUAAUACGUAGGGGGCAAGCGUUAUCCGGAUUUACUGGGUGUAAAGGGGGCGCAGACGGCGAUGCAAGCCAGGAGUGAAAGCCCGGGGCCCAACCCCGGGACUGCUCUUGGAACUGCGUGGCUGGAGUGCAGGAGGGGUAGGCGGAAUGCCUGGUGUAGCGGUGAAAUGCGUAGAGAUCAGAAGGAACACCGGUGGCGAAGGCGGCCUGCUGGACUGCAACUGACGUUGAGGCCCGAAAGCGUGGGGAGCAAACAGGAUUAGAUACCCCUGUAGUC